UUUUUUUUUUUUUUUUUUUUAAGGCCAUAUUUCCUUCUCUCAAUUUUUUUUUCUAAUUUUUCUUCAAACGGUAGUUUUUUCCCAUUAAAACGACGCCACCUAGAGGAUACUAUUUUGUAAAUAAAAAAAAAAAGAAAUUAAAAUUGAAAAGAAAUAUUUUUUAUUUCUUAUUUAUUCCAAAGUUUCAUCUACAAACUGGUGGAUGUGGGAAAGAUUCUUUUUUUCUAUCUUUUUUGGAGUGAAAAUUUUCACUUUGAUCAUUGAAAGGACAUGGAGACAAUUUUAUUUCUGAAGCCAAAUCCAGAUAAUAUGUAAAUGAAAAUUAAGCUGGAAUUUGAAUGAAUUCAAUUCUUGAAGGGGAGAAAGCAAAAAUACCUCCUAAAAGCAAAGGCAGUUUAGGUACCUAAGUUAUUUUAAUUUGAGUAAAAAAAAAAUAGUAAUUGGAAUGAGAAAAGGGGGGAAAUAGUUCAGUUUAGGGAAAGCUGGGAGAAUUGGCUUUAUGAAGCAAUUAGAAAUUGUGUUUCAUUAUAAUUUGCGGCUUGUUUUGCUCCGUAGGCAAAAAUGACUAAUUUUGCCAUUUGGCAGCGUUCAAAGUUUUUCCAUUUCCAAGAAAGAAGGAUUUAGGAGAGAAAAUAGAUCCUAAAAUGUUGGCUUUGGACACACCCAAAAAUUGUAGGUUUAAAUUUUUACAUUUACAUUUUACUGCAUUUAACUCCUGAGAUUUUAAAGAAAAACAGAAAUUGGAAAAGUUAGAGUGAAAUCCUGCCGGUCUUUUUUCUGUUUUUUGUUAUGUUGUGUGUGUGUAUGUGUGUGUUGUGUGUGUUGUGUGUGUGUUUUGCUUUGAUGGAAUAAUUAUGACUGUUUCCUGAUUUUGUUUGCUGCAAGGUCUAGGCAUUUCUUGUUUUGUUGUUGUUUUAUCUAGAAAAUGUCAGGGACCUUUUCUUGAGCAAUAUUCAAUGGAGAAAAAUGUCAAUUCAUAUAUUGUGCAAACUGAGUAGCCCACAGAAUUGUAGGAGAGGCCGCCAUUAAAAUAAGAUAUGCAUAAUUAACAUUAUUAUGAAAAACUAACAGUGGAUUCACAGAAGCCCAUUUUUUUUUACGACACACAAGUGAAUCAAUUGAUGGAGAUAAGGAUUAAAAAAAAUCCUUGUUAAAGAGGAGAAUUUGUCUUUCUCAAUUUUGUUUUCUAGUCCAAUUAGAGUAUUAUCAUCAGUUCCUUUUUUAAAAAUUCAGGUUGGCUUCAGGUUUCUUUGUGAUGUGGGGUUGGAUAAUUCAUUAAUAUUUUGCAUUUUUCAAAUUUUUUUUAUUGCUGUCAAAAGAGAAGAAAUCCAUUAGCCUUGAUCAUUUGAAGAUUGUGUGUGUGUGUGUUUUGAAGGGAGGGGAUUUGUAACAACAACAGAAAAUUCCACAAAUUUUACUGACCCAGUAAGAAAAAAAGGUGGGAGAGAGAAUGGCAGAGAUGAAAAUUCUGAUUUGAAUCCAUCUUCCCUGGUAAGAACACUUUGCUGAAGAAAUGAACUGAAACACCAACUCAGCUGUUUCUAGCAGGAAAAUUUAUUAUUUUCUUUGAAAGAAAAACUAAUCAGAAUACACACAAAAGCCAAACCCAGAGAUGCUUGCCUUGGGAAUUUGAAAGCAUUUUUUAUAAACAAUAUUUUAUGUGGAGGUUUUGUCCUUAAGAUAAAUCAAAUGAAGGUG
rnacentral:lncRNA from 1 species